rnacentral:rRNA from 1 species
CUACGGGGGGCUCCAGUGGGGAAUAUUGCACAAUGGGCGCAAGCCUGAUGCAGCCAUGCCGCGUGUAUGAAGAAGGCCUUCGGGUUGUAAAGUACUUUCAGCGGGGAGGAAGGGAGUAAAGUUAAUACCUUUGCUCAUUGACGUUACCCGCAGAAGAAGCACCGGCUAACUCCGUGCCAGCAGCCGCGGUAAUACGAGGGUGCAAGCGUUAAUCGGAAUGACUGGGCGUAAAGCGCACGCAGGCGGUUUGUUAAGUCAGAUGUGAAAUCCCCGGGCUCAACCUGGGAACUGCAUCUGAUACUGGCAAGCUUGAGUCUCGUAGAGGGGGGUAGAAUUCCAGGUGUAGCGGUGGAAUGCGUAGAGAUCUGGAGGAAUACCGGUGGCGAAGGCGGCCCCCUGGACGAAGACUGACGCUCAGGUGCGAAAGCGUGGGGAGCAAACAGGAUUAGAUACCCGUGUAGUC